rnacentral:rRNA from 1 species
GACGAACGCUGGCGGCGUGCUUAACACAUGCAAGUCGAACGGAAAGGCCCUGCUUUUGUGGGGUGCUCGAGUGGCGAACGGGUGAGUAACACGUGAGUAACCUGCCCUUGACUUUGGGAUAACUUCAGGAAACUGGGGCUAAUACCGGAUAGGAGCUCCUGCUGCAUGGUGGGGGUUGGAAAGUUUCGGCGGUUGGGGAUGGACUCGCGGCUUAUCAGCUUGUUGGUGGGGUAGUGGCUUACCAAGGCUUUGACGGGUAGCCGGCCUGAGAGGGUGACCGGCCACAUUGGGACUGAGAUACGGCCCAGACUCCUACGGGAGGCAGCAGUGGGGAAUAUUGCACAAUGGGCGGAAGCCUGAUGCAGCAACGCCGCGUGCGGGAUGACGGCCUUCGGGUGGUAAACCGCUUUCGCCUGUACCGAAGCGUGAGUGACGGUAAUGAGUAAAGAAGCACCGGCUAACUACGUG